UGGGGAAUUUUGGACAAUGGGCGAAAGCCUGAUCCAGCAAUGCCGCGUGUGUGAAGAAGGCCUUCGGGUUGUAAAGCACUUUUGUCCGGAAAGAAAUCCUUGGCUCUAAUACAGUCGGGGGAUGACGGUACCGGAAGAAUAAGCACCGGCUAACUACGUGCCAGCAGCCGCGGUAAUACGUAGGGUGCAAGCGUUAAUCGGAAUUACUGGGCGUAAAGCGUGCGCAGGCGGUUUGCUAAGACCGAUGUGAAAUCCCCGGGCUCAACCUGGGAACUGCAUUGGUGACUGGCAGGCUAGAGUAUGGCAGAGGGGGUGAGAAUUCCACGUGUAGCAGUGAAAUGCGUAGAGAUGUGGAGGAAUACCGAUGGCGAAGGCAGCCCCUCGGCAGUCACUGACGCUCAUGCACGAAAGCGUGGGGAGCAAACAGGAUUAGAUACCCUGGUAGUCCACGCCCUAAA
rnacentral:rRNA from 1 species